rnacentral:rRNA from 1 species
GUGGGGAAUCUUGCGCAAUGGGCGAAAGCCUGACGCAGCCAUGCCGCGUGAAUGAUGAAGGUCUUAGGAUUGUAAAAUUCUUUCACCGGGGACGAUAAUGACGGUACCCGGAGAAGAAGCUCCGGCUAACUUCGUGCCAGCAGCCGCGGUAAUACGAAGGGGGCUAGCGUUGCUCGGAAUUACUGGGCGUAAAGGGCGCGUAGGCGGCCUGGUAAGUCUGGAGUGAAAGUCCUGCUUUUAAGGUGGGAAUUGCUUUGGAUACUGUCGGGCUUGAGUGCAGGAGAGGUAAGUGGAAUUCCCGGUGUAGCGGUGAAAUGCGUAGAGAUCGGGAGGAACACCAGUGGCGAAGGCGACUUACUGGACUGUAACUGACGCUGAGACGCGAAAGUGUGGGGAGCAAACAGGAUUAGAAACCCUAGUAGUCC